GACGAACGCUGGCGGCGUGCCUAAUACAUGCAAGUAGAACGCUGAAGGAGGAGCUUGCUUCUCUGGAUGAGUUGCGAACGGGUGAGUAACGCGUAGGUAACCUGCCUGGUAGCGGGGGAUAACUAUUGGAAACGAUAGCUAAUACCGCAUAAUAGCAGUUGUUGCAUGACAACUGUUUGAAAGGUGCAAAUGCAUCACUACCAGAUGGACCUGCGUUGUAUUAGCUAGUUGGUGGGGUAAAGGCUCACCAAGGCGACGAUACAUAGCCGACCUGAGAGGGGGAUCGGCCACGCUGGGACUGAGACACGGCCCAGACUCCUACGGGAGGCAGCAGUAGGGAAUCUUCGGCAAUGGACGGAAGUCUGACCGAGCAACGCCGCGUGAGUGAAGAAGGUUUUCGGAUCGUAAAGCUCUGUUGUAAGAGAAGAACGAGUGUGAGAGUGGAAAGUUCACACUGUGACGGUAUCUUACCAGAAAGGGACGGCUAACUACGUG
rnacentral:rRNA from 1 species